GGGAGCGACUUGGCUUCGACAGGAGUAAGUCUGCUUAGAUGGCAUGUCGCUUUGGGCAAAGCGUAAAAAGCCCAAAUAAAAUUAAACGCAAACAACGUUAAAUUCGCUCCUGCUUACGCUAAAGCUGCGUAAGUUCAGUUGAGCCUGAAAUUUAAGUCAUACUAUCUAGCUUAAUUUUCGGUCAUUUUUGAUAGUGUAGCCUUGCGUUUGACAAGCGUUGAGGUGAAAUAAAGUCUUAGCCUUGCUUUUGAGUUUUGGAAGAUGAGCGAAGUACGGUGAAGUAGUCAUCUUUGCUAAGCAUGUAGAGGUCUUUGUGGGAUUAUUUUUGGACAGGGGUUCGAUUCCCCUCGCUUCCACCA
rnacentral:tmRNA from 1 species